UGUGUCCUGGUACUUCCCACAAGCUGUAUUCUUACACUGACUGUAUGUAUAGGAAGAGGAGGCAAAGCAGACCUACCCCAUAUACAACUCAGCCCAGGCCCUUGCCUGGUCUGUAUUGUGAAUGGGGAGGGGGGG
rnacentral:snoRNA from 1 species